CAGUCGCCGCGGUAAUACGAAGGGGGCUAGCGUUGCUCGGAAUGACUGGGCGUAAAGGGCGCGUAGGCGGUUUUGACAGUCAGAUGUGAAAUUCCUGGGCUUAACCUGGGGGCUGCAUUUGAGACGUCAAGACUAGAGUGUGAGAGAGGGUUGUGGAAUUCCCAGUGUAGAGGUGAAAUUCGUAGAUAUUGGGAAGAACACCGGUGGCGAAGGCGGCAACCUGGCUCAUUACUGACGCUGAGGCGCGAGAGCGUGGGGAGCAAACAGGAUUAGAUACCCCCGUAGUCCCUGUCUCUUAUAC
rnacentral:rRNA from 1 species